UUAAUCUCAAACUUUGGAGUGUUUUAUCUCUCCGAAGCUUUGGAUUUGGAGGUUUCUUGCUGGCAAACUUGGUUUGUUAGCUCCUCUUAAAUGUAUUAGCAAGGAAAACCAAUUUUCAAGGAUGAACUUGGCUCUGGUUUGAUAAUUGAUAUCUAUGCCAUUGCUUUGACAAGUCAGAAAAUUUCCAGCUUACAACUAUGUCUCUUUUGAGACACUUUUGAA
rnacentral:misc_RNA from 1 species